rnacentral:lncRNA from 1 species
CUCACACGAUUUAAAACUUAGAAUCAUCACCUUUACAAUUUUGCAAUCUACAUCUAAGGAGUCCUAAUCACAGAAGUACAUCAUACCAUAUCCUAUCUUAGCAACCGAAUUCAUCUAGCCAACAACUUAGCAUAAUCUUGUCUUUCAUUCCCCUCUACCAACCUCAUUUCUUAGCAUAAAACAAAAGUGAAGGCUUUACCUUGGGGGUAUCGAUCACAAGAUUCAGGACUUUCAAACAAGUAUCUGCACCUGCAGGUAAACAUUAGUUCCUAUCCUCUAUCUCUACUAACAUUCUCUCUUAGU